rnacentral:rRNA from 1 species
AGAUUGAACGCUGGCGGCAGGCCUAACACAUGCAAGUCGAGCGGCAGCACGGGUACUUGUACCUGGUGGCGAGCGGCGGACGGGUGAGUAAUGCCUAGGAAUCUGCCUGGUAGUGGGGGAUAACGCUCGGAAACGGACGCUAAUACCGCAUACGUCCUACGGGAGAAAGCAGGGGUACCUUCGGGCCUUGCGCUAUCAGAUGAGCCUAGGUCGGAUUAGCUAGUUGGUGAGGUAAUGGCUCACCAAGGCGACGAUCCGUAACUGGUCUGAGAGGAUGAUCAGCCACACGUGGGACUGAGACACGGCCCAGACCUCCGUACGGGAGGCAGCAGUAGGGAAUAUGGACAAGUGGGACAAAGCCUGACUCCGAGCAAUCGCCGCGUGAGUGAUGGAAGGUCCGUUAAGGUUAGUAAA